GACGAACGCUGGCGGCGUGCUUAACACAUGCAAGUCGAACGGAAAGGCCCUGCUUUUGUGGGGUGCUCGAGUGGCGAACGGGUGAGUAACACGUGAGUAACCUGCCCUUGACUUUGGGAUAACUUCAGGAAACUGGGGCUAAUACCGGAUAGGAGCUCCUGCUGCAUGGUGGGGGUGGGAAAGUUUCGGCGGUUGGGGAUGGACUCGCGGCUUAUCAGCUUGUUGGUGGGGUAGUGGCUUACCAAGGCUUUGACGGGUAGCCGGCCUGAGAGGGUGACCGGCCACAUUGGGACUGAGAUACGGCCCAGACUCCUACGGGAGGCAGCAGUGGGGAAUAUUGCACAAUGGGCGCAAGCCUGAUGCAGCGACGCCGCGUGCGGGAUGACGGCCUUCGGGUUGUAAACCGCUUUCGCCUGUGACGAAGCGUGAGUGACGGUAAUGGGUAAAGAAGCACCGGCUAACUACGUG
rnacentral:rRNA from 1 species